rnacentral:snoRNA from 1 species
UGGCGGCGUGCAGUGGCUGGUAAAGAACAAGCUUUCUCAGUAGUGUAUGCAGCCUGUUCGCCCGCUAUAGGCUACCCUAAGGGAUUUUGGGGACAGCC